rnacentral:rRNA from 1 species
GGUCAAGUGAAGAAGCGCAUACGGUGGAUGCCUUGGCAGUCAGAGGCGAUGAAAGACGUGGUAGCCUGCGAAAAGCUUCGGGGAGUCGGCAAACAGACUUUGAUCCGGAGAUGUCUGAAUGGGGGAACCCAGCCAUCAUAAGAUGGUUAUCUUGUACUGAAUACAUAGGUGCAAGAAGCGAACCAGGGGAACUGAAACA